GAUGAACGCUGGCGGCGUGCCUAAUACAUGCAAGUCGAGCGAACAGACGAGGAGCUUGCUCCUCUGACGUUAGCGGCGGACGGGUGAGUAACACGUGGAUAAUCUACCUUUAAGACUGGGAUAACUUCGGGAAACCGGAGCUAAUACCGGAUAAUAACUUGAACCACAAGGUUUAAUAGUGAAAGACGGUUUUGCUGCCACCUAAAGAUAUAUCCGGUCCUCAUUGGCUAGUUGGUAGGGAAACGCCUUACCAAGGCGACGUAGCUUAGCCGACCUGAGAGGGUGAUCGCCCAAACGGGAACUGGAACACGGUCCAAAUCCCUAGGGGGGGAGCCGUAGGGAAUUUUUGGGCAAUGGCGGAAGUCUGAACGAGGCAAGGCGGGGGGGUGAAGGAGGGUUUUGGGUUGUAAAAACUUGUUGAUUGGGGAGGAAGAAAGGGGGAAGUGACAGUUCACGACGUGACGGUACCUAAUCAGAAAGGCACGGCUAACUACGUG
rnacentral:rRNA from 1 species